UUUAUGGAGAGUUUGAUCCUGGCUCAGGAUGAACGCUGGCGGCGUGCCUAAUACAUGCAAGUCGAGCGAACGGACGAGAAGCUUGCUUCUCUGAUGUUAGCGGCGGACGGGUGAGUAACACGUGGAUAACCUACCUAUAAGACUGGGAUAACUUCGGGAAACCGGAGCUAAUACCGGAUAAUAUUUUGAACCGCAUGGUUCAAAAGUGAAAGACGGUCUUGCUGUCACUUAUAGAUGGAUCCGCGCUGCAUUAGCUAGUUGGUAAGGUAACGGCUUACCAAGGCAACGAUGCAUAGCCGACCUGAGAGGGUGAUCGGCCACACUGGAACUGAGACACGGUCCAGACUCCUACGGGAGGCAGCAGUAGGGAAUCUUCCGCAAUGGGCGAAAGCCUGACGGAGCAACGCCGCGUGAGUGAUGAAGGUCUUCGGAUCGUAAAACUCUGUUAUUAGGGAAGAACAUAUGUGUAAGUAACUGUGCACAUCUUGACGGUACCUAAUCAGAAAGCCACGGCUAACUACGUGCCAGCAGCCGCGGUAAUACGUAGGUGGCAAGCGUUAUCCGGAAUUAUUGGGCGUAAAGCGCGCGUAGGCGGUUUUUUAAGUCUGAUGUGAAAGCCCACGGCUCAACCGUGGAGGGUCAUUGGAAACUGGAAAACUUGAGUGCAGAAGAGGAAAGUGGAAUUCCAUGUGUAGCGGUGAAAUGCGCAGAGAUAUGGAGGAACACCAGUGGCGAAGGCGACUUUCUGGUCUGUAACUGACGCUGAUGUGCGAAAGCGUGGGGAUCAAACAGGAUUAGAUACCCUGGUAGUCCACGCCGUAAACGAUGAGUGCUAAGUGUUAGGGGGUUUCCGCCCCUUAGUGCUGCAGCUAACGCAUUAAGCACUCCGCCUGGGGAGUACGACCGCAAGGUUGAAACUCAAAGGAAUUGACGGGGACCCGCACAAGCGGUGGAGCAUGUGGUUUAAUUCGAAGCAACGCGAAGAACCUUACCAAAUCUUGACAUCCUUUGACAACUCUAGAGAUAGAGCCUUCCCCUUCGGGGGACAAAGUGACAGGUGGUGCAUGGUUGUCGUCAGCUCGUGUCGUGAGAUGUUGGGUUAAGUCCCGCAACGAGCGCAACCCUUAAGCUUAGUUGCCAUCAUUAAGUUGGGCACUCUAAGUUGACUGCCGGUGACAAACCGGAGGAAGGUGGGGAUGACGUCAAAUCAUCAUGCCCCUUAUGAUUUGGGCUACACACGUGCUACAAUGGACAAUACAAAGGGCAGCGAAACCGCGAGGUCAAGCAAAUCCCAUAAAGUUGUUCUCAGUUCGGAUUGUAGUCUGCAACUCGACUACAUGAAGCUGGAAUCGCUAGUAAUCGUAGAUCAGCAUGCUACGGUGAAUACGUUCCCGGGUCUUGUACACACCGCCCGUCACACCACGAGAGUUUGUAACACCCGAAGCCGGUGGAGUAACCUUUUAGGAGCUAGCCGUCGAAGGUGGGAUAAAUGAUUGGGGUGAAGUCGUAACAAGGUAGCCGUAUCGGAAGGUGCGGCUGGAUCACCUCCUUUCU
rnacentral:rRNA from 1 species